rnacentral:rRNA from 1 species
AGCAGGCGCGCAAAUUACCCAAUCCCGACACGGGGAGGUAGUGACAAUAAAUAACAAUACGGGGCUCAUUUGGGUCUCGUAAUUGGAAUGAGUACAAUUUAAAUCUCUUAACGAGGAACAAUUGGAGGGCAAGUCUGGUGCCAGCAGCCGCGGUAAUUCCAGCUCCAAUAGCGUAUAUUAAAGUUGUUGCAGUUAAAAAGCUCGUAGUUGAACUUCGGGGUCUACCCAUUGGUCAGGCUUAAUUGUCUGCACUGGUGAGAUGGAUCUCUACCUUCUGAGGAACUUUCAUGCCAUUUAUUUGGUGUGGUUGGAAAUCAGGACUGUUACUUUGAAAAAAUUAGAGUGUUUAAAGCAGACUAUCGUCUGAAUACAUUAGCAUGGAAUAAUGAAAUAGGACGGACUGAUUCUAUUUCGUUGGUUUCUAGGAUCACCGUAAUGAUUAAUAGGGAUAGUUGGGGGCAUUAGUAUUCAAUUGUCAGAGGUGAAAUUCUUGGAUUUAUUGAAGACUAACUACUGCGAAAGCAUUUGCCAAGGAUGUUUUCAUUAAUCAAGAACGAAAGUUAGGGGAUCGAAGACGAUCAGAUACCGUCGUAGUCUUAACCAUAAACUAUGCCGACUAGGGAUCGGACGAAGUUAAUUUUAUAAUGACGCGUUCGGCACCUUACGGGAAACCAAAGUGUUUGGGUU